UACGUAGGGGGCAAGCGUUGUCCGGAUUUAUUGGGCGUAAAGAGCGUGUAGGCGGCUAUACAGGUCCGCUGUGAAAACUCGAGGCUCAACCUCGAGACGUCGGUUGAAACCGUAUGGCUAGAGUCCGGAAGAGGAGAGUGGAAUUCCCGGUGUAGCGGUGAAAUGCGCAGAUAUCGGGAAGAACACCCGUGGCGAAGGCGGCUCUCUGGGACGGUACUGACGCUGAGACGCGAAAGCGUGGGGAGCAAACAGG
rnacentral:rRNA from 1 species